GGAUGCUAGGUGAGUCUGUUAACAGCAUUACUAGCCUAUCGAUGCCAAGUCCCAUUCCAGAAGCUGGAGGCAUUCCGUAUUCCAAAGCUGUAAGGAAAUCUUCGUCAAGAGUUACUUCAUACGAGUCAUCAUCAUCAUCGUUGUUCUCUUGUUCCUUGGCACCAGCCUUACUUAAACCUGAUGCUGCUUUUUUCUCAUUAUGCUGCCUCACUUGC
rnacentral:misc_RNA from 1 species